UGCUGGGAGUGAAGGCAGUGCGUAUGAUCACUUGAUAUGAGAGACACAUCCUGUUUUUAAAGGUGGAUCAUGAGUUAAGCUCUGCAGGUCGGCCAUUGACUUGAUAACAGUUGUUUAUGUUUAUUCAAUUUAUGAAUAAAUCUCUCGCCAACCAUUCACCUAUUUACUGACAAAACGGAUCCAAAUCUUGUAUGAUGAUGACCACUGCAAGGUGAGGGGAAUCUGUGAUUAGAGUGUAUAGACAUAAAAUGAAAGAUGCUGUUUGACUUAUAGGCAUAAGGUGAGGGGAAUCUGUGAUUAUCACAGCCUGCGUCUUAAGAUCAACAUAACAACAGCAGACCAUCUCUUAUCUUACUCUUAUCUGACUAAAUGUUCAACUUCAUUGCCACAAAACAAAGAACAUUGGAUGAAGUAUGUACUGUACAAUGAUCCAGCA